AGCAGCCGCGGUAAUUCCAGCUCCAAUAGCGUAUAUUAAAGUUGUUGCAGUUAAAAAGCUCGUAGUUGAAUUUCGGGGUUAGUAGGUUGGUCAUGCCUCUGGUAUGUACUGGUCUCACUGAUUCCUCCUUCCUGAUGAGCCGUAAUGCCAUUAAUUUGGUGUUGCGGGGAAUUUGGACUGUUACUUUGGAAAAAUUAGAGUGUUUAAAGCAAGCUAACGCUUGAAUACAUUAGCAUGGAAUAAUGAAAUAGGACGUUCGAUCCUAUUUUGUUGGUUUCUAGGAUUGACGUAAUGAUUAAUAGGGAUAGUUGGGGGCAUUAGUAUUCAAUUGUCAGAGGUGAAAUUCUUGGAUUUAUUGAAGACUAACUACUGCGAAAGCAUUUGCCAAGGAUGUUUUCAUUAAUCAAGAACGAAAGUUAGGGGAUCGAAGACGAUCAGAUACCGUCGUAGUCUUAACCAUAAACUAUGCCGACUAGGGAUCGGAUGAUGUUAAUUUU
rnacentral:rRNA from 1 species